GUUCCUCCUUUGGCCUCCCACAGUGCUAGGAUUACAGGUGUGAGCCACUGUCCCCAGCCUAGAAAAGGACAUUUUAAACAACCAGAUCAACAAGAAGUGAGGCCUGCAAUAAUACUGAUAACUAUUCUCUGCUCACAGACCUUUGUCAUUUAUUAUGAAUGUUAUAUGCAGUCUCAAUCUUGAAAAUCUGAGAAAGGUAUCUGAGAAUGCUUGUUAGUAUAAAGCAGUGUCUUUUCGCUACCUUAAAAAGGAUCCACCAAAUUAUAGACUGAAACCUCCCUGUUCCCUCCCACCCAAAGCAUUAUUCGUUUUUUCACUUCUACUGGGAUAUUAAAUUACUUUGGGACCUUAGAGGUAAGCUGUGAAUGAACUCUAGUACAUCUGUGCUGUGGCCUAUUAAUAAAUUCUUUAACAAUGAUUCACCAUGGGCUUUGAAACAAGUUAAUAUCCAUUAAUUUGCCUUGUCUUAAAUAUAAAUUCUUCUUUUCCCAAUAGAAUGUCUCUUUGAAAAUGAUUACUCUAAAACGGUGAGAUUGUUAAUGUGCUUCUCACUUUAUUCUUAAUGAAAAGUAGACAAAGCCUAAUAUAUGAAUCUCAGAUCACAAAAGAUAAUUUUUUGUUAACUGGUGAAGGCUUGGCUUAGUGUUGACACAUUCAAUUCCAUUCAAUUUCAUCAAUAUUUGGAGUAUUAGAUAUUAUUGAUAGGAUUAUAGUCUUUUUGUGAUCCCUGAGUGCAUGGCUUAGUAUUUAGUGAACAAACACCUAUAAGAUGAUAAACGUAAGAUACAAUUGUGUAUAAGGUUUCAUACAGAAGAAAAAGCCAUUAGGUUCAUUUUGAGGGGAGGAAAUUAUCAAGCUAAAGAGAAAAGGUGAUAUUUAUAAGAAUUCAAGCAAAGAAGUAAGGCAACAUAACAUAACAUUUCACAUAUAUUCUGGAAAUCGUGAGAAGUCUAGUGCAGCUAAAAUGCUGGUUGCGUGGGUCAUGGGAAACCCCUCGAACAAUGCCCCAAAUGGAACCUGAGGUCCUUAGUCCUACAACAUCUCAGUGUUUCCUUCCCAGCAGAAGCAAAUGAGAUCGAGACUGUGACUAUCAUCUAUUGUUCUUUAACAGGUUAUUGCUCCCUGAGUGUCUCUCUUAGGGUCAGGCUGCAAAUUUUCCUCAAAGCAGCGUAAAAGAAGAAGGGACACUCAUAAAUCCCCUGACCGAUGCCUCUUCGUUUAGAAAUGCUUGCUGUUUGAAAACUUGUGAAGACCUGCAUCCCUUUGUAUCUCAAAUAAAGACAGAGGGUUGAAGACAGCAAGUGCAUCUCUGGGCAACCACUGCAGCUGGCCAUGGGGGACUGAUGCAUACUGUUGAGGUUGAUCUUACUCUGUCUCCUCCCUAUGUUGGACAACAUCAUUGUCACUAUCAAGAUGACUCUGUCCCUUCUUGCUCUCUCCCUUUUACCCUUCCAAAUCCUCAAUCGAAAUGCCCGGACUACCCAAAAGUUAAAUACACCACUGUAUCUGUUCAGGUUCAAGAACAGUACUUCA